UUUGUCUUGCUAUUUGCCAGCUUCGAAACAACAUCUCUCGCUUUAACUUUAGCUAUCAAGUUUCUUACGGAUGAUUCUGCAGUCCUAAAGCGUUUAACGGUUAGUCAGAGGUUAAACACAAUAGAUACCUUACCAAGAAGUGACAACUUUCUGGUUUAUAAUACAAAAAAACUAAACUGUGUUCAUCUUCAUCAGGAAGAACAUGAGACAAUUCUGAGAAACCGAGAAGAUGCAGACUCUGGACUUACAUGGGAAGAAUACAAGUCAAUGACUUACACAUUUCAGGUUGCUUAAGAUUUUUGAUCAAAGUAUGAUAAUUUCCUAAGUUUUCAAUACAAAAUUCAGCUGACUAAGUCUUAAGUAAACCUUGUAUGCAGUUCAUAAACGAAACAGCGAGACUAGCAAAUAUAGUUCCUGCAAUCUUCAGAAAGGCGUUGAGAGAUAUAAAAUUUAAAGGUAUGAUAUAAAAUAAACAAUAACAUUCUCAAUGAUUUAAGUGCCUAUUUUUAUAUUAUCAUUAAGACUUUUGUCAAUGGUUACAGAUUAUACCAUUCCAGCCGGCUGGGCGGUGAUGGUCUGUCCACCAGCUGUACAUUUGAAUCCAGAAAAGUAUAAAGAUCCUUUAGUCUUCAAUCCAUCAAGAUGGGAGGUGAGGUCAAACCUUCUGAGUAACUUCUACUCCAAGUAAAACUGAAAACAUUAAACAAAAAUGUAACAAAACUAAUCAACACAAGAAAUUGAUGUAAUGCAGGGAUCAAAAGUUACUAAUGCAUCAAAGCACUUCAUGGCCUUUGGUGGCGGUAUGAGGUUCUGUGUUGGAACAGACUUCACUAAAUUGCAGAUGGCUGCGUUUCUUCA
rnacentral:lncRNA from 1 species